rnacentral:rRNA from 1 species
AGAUUAAGCCAUGUAAGUCUUAGUAUGAAAUAAUGAAUCGUGAAACCGCGAAUGGCUCAUUACAACAGCUAUAGUUCACUGGAUAUUUACAUGGAUAACUGUGGUAAUUCUACAGCUAAUACACGCUUCAAAACCCUGACUUUACGGAAGGGUGCGUUAGUUAAUUCAAACCAAUCAGACUUCGGCCAAGUGAAAUUGAACUAUUUAGCUGAUCGCACGGUCUAAGAACCGGCGACAUAUCCUUCUCUGCCUUAUCAACUGUCGAUGGUAGAUUAUGCGCCUACCAUGGUUGUAACGGGUAACGGAGAAUCAGGGUUUGAUUCCGGAGAGGGAGCCUGAGAAAUGGCUACCACAUCCAAGGAAG